rnacentral:rRNA from 1 species
AUUGAACGCUGGCGGCAUGCUUUACACAUGCAAGUCGAACGGUAACAGGGUGCUUGCACCGCUGACGAGUGGCGAACGGGUGAGUAAUGCGUCGGAACGUGCCGAGUAGUGGGGGAUAACGCAUCGAAAGGUGUGCUAAUACCGCAUACGUACUGAGGGAGAAAGUGGGGGACCUUCGGGCCUCACGCCAUUCGAGCGGCCGACGUCUGAUUAGCUAGUUGGGGAGGUAAAGGCUCACCAAGGCGACGAUCAGGAGCGGGUCUGAGAGGAUGAUCCGCCACACUGGGACUGAGACACGGCCCAGACUCCUACGGGAGGCAGCAGUGGGGAAUUUUGGACAAUGGGCGCAAGCCUGAUCCAGCCAUGCCGCGUGUCUGAAGAAGGCCUUCGGGUUGUAAAGGACUUUUGUCCGGGAGCAAAUACCCAGUGCUAAUAACGCUGGGGGCUGAGAGUACCGGAAGAAUAAGCACCGGCUAACUACGUGCCAGCAGCCGCAGUAACAC